CCUACGGGAGGUAGCAGUGAGGAAUAUUGGGCAAUGGACGAAAGUCUGAACCAGCCAAGUAGCGUGAAGGAUGACUGCCCUAUGGGUUGUAAACUUCUUUUAUAUGGGAAUAAAAUGUUCCACGUGUUGGCUUUUGUAUGUACCCUAUGAAUAAGGAUCGGCUAACUCCGUGACAGCGGCCGCAGUAAUACGGAGGAUCCGAGCGUUAUCCGGAUUUAUUGGGUUUAAAGGGAGCGUAGGUGGAUUGGUAAGUCGGUUGUGAAAGGUUGCGGCUCAACCGUAAAAUUGCAGUUGAAACUGGCAGUCUUGAGUACAGUAGAGGUGGGCGGAAUUCGUGGUGUAGCGGUGAAAUGCUUAGAUAUCACGAAGAACACCGAUGGCGAAGGCAGCUCACUGGACUGCAACUGACACUGAGGCUCGAAAGUGUGGGUAUCAAACAGGAUUAGAUACCCCUGUAGUC
rnacentral:rRNA from 1 species